rnacentral:rRNA from 1 species
AUUGAACGCUGGCGGCAGGCCUAACACAUGCAAGUCGAACGGUAACAGGAAGCAGCUUGCUGCUUCGCUGACGAGUGGCGGACGGGUGAGUAAUGUCUGGGAAGCUGCCUGAUGGAGGGGGAUAACUACUGGAAACGGUAGCUAAUACCGCAUAAUGUCGCAAGACCAAAGAGGGGGACCUUCGGGCCUCUUGCCAUCGGAUGUGCCCAGAUGGGAUUAGCUUGUUGGUGGGGUAGCGGCUCACCAAGGCGACGAUCCCUAGCUGGUCUGAGAGGAUGACCAGCCACACUGGGACUGAGACACGGUCCAGACUCCUACGGGAGGCAGCAGUGGGGAAUAUUGCACAAAGGGCGCAAGCCUGAUGCAGCCAUGCCGCGUGUAUGAAGAAGGCCUUCGGGUUGUAAAGUACUUUCAGCGGGGAGGAAGGGAGUAAAGUUAAUACCUUUGCUCAUUGACGUUACCCGCAGAAGAAGCACCGGCUAACUCCGUG